UACGUAGGGGGCAAGCGUUGUCCGGAAUCAUUGGGCGUAAAGAGCGUGUAGGCGGCCCGAUAAGUCCGCUGUGAAAGUCCAGGGCUCAACCCUGGAAAGCCGGUGGAUACUGUCGGGCUCGAGUCCGGAAGAGGCGAGUGGAAUUCCUGGUGUAGCGGUGAAAUGCGCAGAUAUCAGGAGGAACACCAAUGGCGAAGGCAGCUCGCUGGGACGGUACUGACGCUGAGGUGCGAAAGCGUGGGGAGCAAACAGG
rnacentral:rRNA from 1 species